GAUUCCGGGACGACGGCUACCGGGCCUGGACCCCGGGCCUGCCCGCUCCUCUCAGCUAGCCUCAGAGAGUGGAGGGUCCGCCUCGGACGGCCCGACACCCACCCCCCGCGCGCCUCAGGCCCCGGACGGCCGAGGCCUCGGGACUCACCCAGCUGGCGAGGGAGAAGACGCCGAGGACGGCCCCCAUGGUGACGCCGGGGCCGAGACCCACCGCUCCGACCGGAUCCUAACUGCUGACUGAGGCGUCGCCUCAGAAACGCGACGGAUCCUCAAGCCGGAAACAGGGCCCGCCCUUCGCAGGACGCCCAGUUUACGUCAUCGGGUGGCCCCGCCCACGUAGGGGGAAGAAGGCGGAGCCUAAGACUGCUGGGGUGGCAGAGGACAUAGAGGGUUCUUGGCAUACAACUCCGGGCUCGCUUGGGGCGCUGGUGAUCAGAGGCAACACAAAGGUGCAGAAAGACAGCAUGUCCCCUACGAACUGCACUUAUCCUCGGAAGAAGCUACAUCCGAAUUAAAUAAAGAUCCUACAGACUGUUAAGUCGUGGCUGGGCAGUACUUUGUGAUUAUUGAGAGAUGGAAUGUUGGCAAACUCAGAGGCAAACAGGCUAUGUUGGGCCAUUCAAUAAUCAGUUAGCAUCUGUAAUCCCAGCACUAAAGAGGAUGAGGCUGGAGGAUCAGGAGUUCAAAACUAUCCUGUGCUACAUAGAGUUCCAGACGAACAAAAAAAGCCACUCUUCUUAUCCCACACCCUACCGGAAACUUCUCCAGCCUUGUCUCCCCUUCCCCUUUCCCCCUUCCUCUUUUCCCCUGCCCCCCUUCCCCCUUGCCCCCUCCCUCCGCGGGGGUCAGUCUGCUGGCCAGGGUCAGCUCACUACUUUCCCUGUCCUAGACUCUUCCCGAUGCCUCUGGCUGUACUCGCUCUCAUAUCUAUAAUAAAAAUUUUCUCCGCAGCCA
ensembl:antisense RIKEN cDNA 0610039K10 gene